CGUAGGUGCGAGCGUUAUCCGGAAUUAUUGGGCGUAAAGAGCUCGUAGGCGGUUUGUCGCGUCUGUCGUGAAAGUCCGGGGCGUUGACCCCGGACUCUGCGGUGGGUACGGGCAGACUAGAGUGCAGUAGGGGAGACUGGAAUUCCUGGUGUAGCGGUGGAAUGCGCAGAUAUCAGGAGGAACACCGAUGGCGAAGGCAGGUCUCUGGGCUGUAACUGACGCUGAGGAGCGAAAGCAUGGGAGCGAACAGGAUU
rnacentral:rRNA from 1 species